AGAGUUUGAUCAUGGCUCAGAACGAACGCUGGCGGCGUGGAUAAGACAUGCAAGUCGAACGGGGGGACAACUAGCUUGCUAGGGAGUUCUCCAGUGGCGCACGGGUGAGUAACACGUGAGUGACCUACCCCUGAGAGAGGGAUAGCCCUGGGAAACCGGGAGUAAUACCGCAUAAGAUCGAGAGAUGAAAGCAGAGAUGCGCUCAGGGAGGGGCUCGCGGCCUAUUAGUUAGUUGGUGAGGUAACGGCUCACCAAGGCGAUGACGGGUAGCCGGUCUGAGAGGAUGUCCGGCCACACUGGAACUGAGACACGGUCCAGACACCUACGGGUGGCAGCAGUCGAGGAUCAUUCACAAUGGGGGGAACCCUGAUGGUGCGACGCCGCGUGGGGGAGAGAAGGUCUUAGGAUUGUAAACCCCUGUCAUGUGGGAGCAAAGUAAGAAGAUAGUACCACAAGAGGAAGAGACGGCAAACUCUGUGCCAGCAGCCGCGGUAAUACAGAGGUCUCGAGCGUUGUUCGGAAUCACUGGGCGUAAAGGGUGCGUAGGCGGUUUUUGCAAGUCGUGUGUGAAAAGGCAGGGGCUCAACCUCUGGAGGGCACAUGAGACUGCGAAGCUGGGAGUCAUGGAGGGGGAACCGGAAUUCUCGGUGUAGCAGUGAAAUGCAUAGAUAUCGAGAGGAAGACUCGGAGCGAAGCGGGUUCCUGGACAUAGACUGACGCUAAGGCACGAAGGCCAGGGGAGCCAAAGGAUUUAGAUACCCCUGUAGCCCUGGGAGAAACGGGGCACGCUUGGGGGGCGG
rnacentral:rRNA from 1 species